rnacentral:rRNA from 1 species
CCCUUAGAUGUCCUGGGCUGCACGCGCGCUACACUGAUGUGUCCAGUAAGCACCUAACCUCUUCCGAAAGGAACGGGUAACCUUUGCAAAGCACAUCGUGAUGGGGAUAGAUUAUUGCAAUUAUUAGUCUUGAACGAGGAAUUCCUAGUAAGCACAAGUCAUCAGCUUGUGUUGAUUACGUCCCUGCCCUUUGUACAUACCGCCCGUCGCUCCUACCGAUUGAAUGUUCCGGUGAGCUCUUCGGACUGCGCGGUCUGCAGUUUCUGCGUUCCGUGCGGAAAGUUGCGCAAACCUUAACAUUUAGAGGAAGGAGAAGUCGUAACA